rnacentral:rRNA from 1 species
UAGUCCACGCCGUAAACGAUGAUUACUAGAAGUUUGGAAUUAUUUGAGCUUCUAAGGGAAACCGACAAGUAAGCCACCUGGGGAGUACGUUCGCAAGAAUGAAACUCAAAGGAAUUGACGGGGGCCCGCACAAGCGGUGGAGCAUGUGGUUUAAUUCGAUGAUACGCGAGGAACCUUACCAGGGCUUAAAUGUAGUCUGACAGCUUUAGAGAUAGAGUUUUCUUCGGACAGAUUACAAGGUGCUGCAUGGUUGUCGUCAGCUCGUGCCGUGAGGUGUCAGGUUAAGUCCUAUAACGAGCGCAACCCCUGUUGUUAGUUGCCAGCGAGUAAUGUCGGGAACUCUAGCAAGACUGCCGGUGCAAACCGCGAGGAAGGUGGGGAUGACGUCAAAUCAUCACGGCCCUUACGUCCUGGGCCACACACGUGCUACAAUGGUAGGUACAGAGAGCAGCCACUUGGCGACAAGGAGCGAAUCUAUAAAACCUAUCACAGUUCGGAUCGGAGUCUGCAACUCG